GUAAAAAUAAGAUGAACUAAACAAGGCCUUAAUCGCACCGCUUCGGUUCGAAUCGGUGGGAAAGCUGUUCGAACCGGUGGGAAAGCUAUUGUAAAAAAAAAUAAAUAAAAUGGGCCUUAUCUUUUUUCUUUCUCCUUCUGUCUUAUGUAUUUCUCUUUCCUCGAUCUCUCCUCCUCUCUCAUCUGCCUCUCUCAGUCUCUAUCAUCUACAACAAUGGAGCCUCAAACUCCUUCUCUCUCCUUCGAUCUCCUUCUCCAUAACCGCCGCUUUCCCUUUCCUUUUCUCUCUCAUUCUCCAUCACUGCGCCGCAAGCAACGCCGCUCUCCUUCUCCUUCUCAGUCUGAAAUCGGCCGCCGUCAAUUUGAACCAAAUACAACAACAACAACAACAACAACAAACUUGAAUCAAUUAUCGAUUCAAAGUUCACAAUUUCGAGGGUUGGUGUGUGAACCAUCAAAUAGUUGAAGCCAUGGUUCCGUUUGAAUACAAGCCGUAUUUGGAUUCCAAAACAUAGUAAUGCUAAUGCAUGUAUUUGGCUUCUUUUUGGUGUUUGUUGUGCCGUCUGUGCUUGCUGCAAUGAACUUGAUGUGGUUUGGGAAGAUACUCAGAGGAUUGAAGAAGAAGUUAGCAAAGAGACAAUGACUCAGUAAUGGAAUUGCAUGGUAUUUUCUUAGAAUCUUUUUUCUUCGGUGUAAAAAUGGUGGGUUGGAAAUGUGAAGGCAAAGGGAUCUUUUUUCUUCGUGAAGAUAAUUGUAUCGCCAUUUUUUAUUUAGUUUUUUAAGUGUAAUAUUACAAGUUAUUGAA